CGUCGAAAUUAUUAUUCACGUAAGUGUGAGGACAUCCCGAGAGGCUGGAAGAUAGUGAAACUGGACCUUUUAAUUUUUCAACUCGAUUAAAAGCUUGAUUCGGUUGAUGAACGUGGAUUAGAUUCGUCAUAAAUGGAACGGUUUUUAAUCAAACUUUAAUCUAUCGGGUUUCAACGUCGCGGAAUUAAUUUAACAUUCAUUAAUUACAUGAAUAAAUAUUAAAUGUUGAACAGAUAGCAGGAAGUCGAGAGAGAGAGAGAGAGAGAGAGAGAGUAAGCGUGCCACUCUCGUUCCCAUUGCAAUAAACUCGUUUAGAGGAAUCCGGCCCCCCCCCCCCCCCGGCCCCUACGCCCCUAUAAACGCAUCGAUUCUCGAUAAACAAAUUAACAGAAAUUAAAACGCGAACGAAUGGAAAUUAAAUCAGCGAAGACGUUUCUAUUUAAUUUGCGGGAUACGCGUACGUAUAUUCUAUACCGUAAUUACUUUUCUCCAUUUAAUAAUUGCCGCGAGGGGCCGACGCUUUACCCCAUAAAGAAUCGGCGAGGUUUAUUUCAUUAUCGAUAUUGGAUAUCUAAGGAAUAAAUUGAUUGAAGGGUAAAUAAUAUUUGAUCACGUAAUGUUUAUUUACGGCGAAUAUCCUCAAAGGAUAGUUCUCUCAACACGUUGUCAAUUCGAUUUCUUUCCAACGGUCCACUUUGUAUUUCGCUUUGAGGCAAAUUAGGUAAAUUAAUGAACAACGAUGAUAUCAAACGUAUCUUCGUUUAUUUGUCAUUACUGUUGUUGUUACGAUUACAAUUUGCUUUCUACGAUUUUUUAAAGCGCGAUAAUUCCUUAAACUCGGUUUCCCAACUUCAUUCCCUGGGAUAUUAACUCUGCUUCUAUUUUUCGCUCGGUUCGCUGAAUUUUGGAGCGAAAGAAAGCAACAAAGUUUCAGCGUUCAGAAACGGGACAACCUUUAGAAAUUUAUCCGGUCGUCUAAGUAAUCUUUGAAACGCGAGCGAAAGCGAAAUCAUUGUACCCUGGUACUCGCGACGAGGAGUUUGAAAAACUUUUUAGCCACAUUCACCGCGGCCUGCUGACUCGCAGUUAGAAAUUAGCAGUGUCUUAAUUCCUUGAUAUCGACAGUUGGAUGGUAAAGACUGUUGGUUUCUCCGAUGAAAAGGGGAGUCGACAAACAAGCUCGUCGUCCCCGUCACCUGACUUCCGCAAAAGCGAACGUUGCGAAAGCUAAGGAUACCAGGAACGACGGACGACGCCGGACGACGUUCGUCGAUCCUUUUAUGCACUCGUCGCACAUUUUGGUCAUCGGACGUCCGUCGGCUGGGCAAUUAUCGAAGGGAGAUAUGCAGACUCGCACUUUUACAGUACUUAGUAAGCAUCUCGUUCAAAGUCCACGAAUGCUCGUUGCAGGUCGCCUCGUAGCGAGCGUCGAGCCGUUUCGAAAUUUUCGCGAGACUCGCCGCGAUCGAUCGCUCGACGCGCGAUAACGAGGAAAGUUAUUACAUCCUCUCUGAUCGGUCGGUCGGGCAGGAAAUCUGGGAGGAUGGGCUUAAAUUUUUGGUAGGGGAUAUAAUUCGUUCGAUAUAAUUAGGGACAAUUUGUUGACACUUAGAACUGACAAUUAGCGUGCCUUUUUUAGGUUGGGAAAUUUUAGGAAAAUAUUAGAGUAUAUUGAUGAAUCGUUGGUGUUUCUCGGUAUAGUGAAACUUAAAGAUUAAUGCGAAGAAGAGUCGGCGACGGAUAGCGAGUGAGUGAAGUUUUUCUUCCGUAGAAACGAACAACUGAAUCUAGAUUAGGAAAGUCUGCUGUGAUUUGAUAAUACGUGAAUAUGUUAUCGAGGACGGAUGAUAGUUGAUUUAAUUUCAUUCUAUUGAGACGAGGUUCUCGCGGUUAAUUCGUAGUUAUAUAUAACGAGACGUUACGCACGGUGGGGCAAAUUUAACGUAACCAAGUGGCAAUUAGCUCGAACAAGUGCAAACUUUAUCGUUUGUUCAAAUUAACAAAGUGACAAUUUGGGCCUCGUGUUCGUGCUCUGAUCUGACAACGAAACAAAACGACACGACUGCUCCUAUUAUUCGCAAAAUAUCUUUAUAUAUAUACAUAUAUAUAUAUAUGAAGAAUCACUGGAAAUUUCUUCGUCUCUUGUAACACGUGCGAACGAAUUGAAUCAAUGGAGCGGCAAUUCCACUUGUCGCGCAUUCUUCCCCUAAUUCUCAUAUUCUUUCGUAACAAAAGGAGACAAUCGGUCUUCUUCUGGUUCUGUCGACGAGCCUCGAUCGCCGCAUUCACUCCUCGGUUCGUUCUUUCUCGUUUGCUCCGGAUACCCGCAGAACAGACACGUAUACAUGCACACACACACACACACACACAUACACACGCAGACAGAAACACACACGCGCGCGUAAAUACAUAGGGCUGACAAUGAGAGACACGUAUAUACAGAUACACGCAGGAACGUACAAGACAACACGAGCAAUGCAGUGUUCAAAUACCUUGAAAGCCACCCUGUAGAUCGGAAUCUCGCAUAGUACUAAACAGAUUGUAUAACACUUUAACUAAGCUUUCCGUAACGAUAAAUACAGAAGAAAUGAGCGAAAGGGAAACGAGAGAAAGAGCGAGCGCGCGAGUUACACAGUGAGAGAGAGAAAGAAUGAGAAUGAAAGUGAGAGAUAGAAAGAAAGAGAAAAGAAGGGUGAAAAUGUAAUACGAGUGAAUAAGAAAGAAAGAGAGAAAGAGAGAGAGAGAGAGAGAGAAAAAAUAAGGUAACACACACGAAAAAAAAAAAAAAAGAUGAAAGCUUGAGACGAGAGGAACCUACGAAUUGUUAUGUUUUCUACAGUAACGUUUGUACCGACUUACAACAAUAUUUGUACAAUAUACGAUAAUGGAAAAAUGAAGUUACGUACCUAUACAACAUAGGUUAUCCAGAUGCAAUAACUUUUUUAAACGGUAUUUAAUGAAAUGAAGAGAGAAAAGAGAGAAAGAGAGCGAGAGAGCGAGCGAGCGAGCGAGCGAGAGAGAGAGAGAGAGAAGAAGAAGAAAGAAAAAAAAAUACCAAGCCGGGAUAUUUUUCAUACUUGUAACGAAGUCAAGCGGGCCGGAGGCCCGCGUGAUGCCACAUCGUUUCGUUUUUGUGUGCCAACCAAGAGAUUUUAGAUUUUUUUUUCCUGUUUUUUUUUUUUCUUUUUUCUUUGCUUUGCAGAUGAUGCGCGACACGCGCGCGACCCGCGUCCCCGAAUCUCUCGGUCGCCAACUUAUAUACUCACUUACACACACACACACACAGACACACACACACACACACACACACACACACGAUGUCCAUCGUUGGUUGCUCGAAUACGCGUUCGAGCUGCGAUCUCGGUGAAAAAAAGAAAAAGAGAAAAGAAAAAAGAAGAAAGGAAAAGGAAAAAUUUGGCGAUGUUGUUGAUAGCGAAAUCGAGACAGUUCGGUGAACAUUUAUGUUAUUUCUUUUUUUCUUUUUUUCUUUGGCGCAAAUCCACGCAAAGAGAUGUUUAGAACGCGAAAUGGAAACGGGACACGACGGUUGAUUUUCGGCCGCGAGAUUUCCUUUCGAUGGAGCUUGUCGGUCGCAGCUUGCGCGUGUUUUUUGGCGGCGUGUAAUGUGGUUUGAUAAAAUGGUUGCGACAGCGAAGAGAGAAAAAGGAAAGAGAGAGAGAGAGAGAGAGAGAGAGAAAGAGAGAGAGAGAGAGAGAGACAGAAAAAGCAAUGUUCGAGGCGAUACACGCGUAAUCGUUGUGACGCGAUUAAUAAUCAUCAAGAUCUCUCUUCUCGUUUUUGAGAAAAUGAAACCGGAGAGAAAGACUUGUCCGUAAACUAAACUUCACCAUGUUGACACGCGUUCUUGAUCAUUAUGGGUACUACCGCCUUGUUUUGUGUAAAAUGACGUUUUUCUGUUUCGGUUCUUAGGCGAACGAAUGCAUAUCAUAGUUGUAAAUUAACGAUUUGUGAAAUAAAAGCUGCAAACUGUUUGUGUUAACAA